GCCUUGAUGGUGAAAUGAUAGACACGCGAGACUCAAAAUCUCGUGCUGAAGAGCGUGGAGGUUCGAGUCCUCUUCAAGGCA
rfam:Triticum aestivum genome assembly, contig: Triticum_aestivum_CS42_TGACv1_scaffold_602537_7DL